GGACACCUUUAGCACAUAAUAUCCCAAUAUCCUGAUCAUGUUUUAAAACAAUUAACAACAGAGAGUUGUAAGGUUACGGUUUUGUGUUUCUUUGAAUGCUUUUUGUUUACUACCAACUGGGACGGAAAAUUAAAAUGAAAAGGUAUCCUGUCUUCCCCCACCAUACUCUAUCUCUAAUAAAGUUAUUAAUAUCCUAUACUUACCGAAGACCCCAGAAUGAAGUCAUCAUUGAAAUAAAGAAAAUAGGGAGAUAGAUUAGGAAUCUUGUGCAGAUGAACUUCAAUGGCCGGUGAACUAAAUGUCGGGAGAUGUUCUUCAUGGGGGAACAGAGAAUCGUGUUUUACCUGAAGUUAAAAUGGUGGGUAAACAGCACAUCCUGCAAGAAGAAUCAUGUAAGAAUAGUACCAACACCAAACCAGUGAAAACUUGGGAAGCAAUCUUCGAACACAUCACAGCGUCACCCUGGGUUUGUUUAACUACACAGGGUCACGAGGUUUGUUCUUCAGCUUCCAAACCUUUAACACACCCCUCCGGAAAACUUUAUGCCGAUGUCGCCUCCAGAAGCGGUAAAUUUGAUCCCAGAAGAAUGAGAUGAUAAUUGCGAAGAGAAGAAAGAUUAAGAUGGAAUGCAUGAUGAACAAAGUUCGCUCGUGAUUCUGUUUCCACUCACGCAAAUCAUGAAUGUUCAUGAAACGAUUUCGAUAAUCAUGCAGGAGUUCGAACUGUGAUUGGGUAGGGAAGAGAGUCUCAUAGAAAUCUUGUAACACAGCUUUCACAGUCUCAGCACCUCUGUUGGGAAAAUUUAAAUAUAAAUUAUUACAAGAGUUUCAAACUCUUUUUGUUAAGCAUAAAUAAACAGCCAGCUUUUAAUUAAAUGACCUUGGCCUUAAAUGGUACUGGGUUUGAUUCUCGACACUUAUUGCUCUGUGUUCUUAGGCAAGUCACUUAAUGGACAUUACCCCCAUGGCUUGUCCAAAUUAUCAGGUAUUCAGAGAAACAAUCACCCACAAAGUUACACGAGUUUUUUAGCUAUGUGCAUUGGGUAAUGGACCAAACCUGGCCUAAACCCUAGAAACUACCUCACCCAUAUAAAAUAGAUGAACUUACUUGGAAGUAUGGUCAAUAUUAUCAUUGAGACAAAUAAACUUCUUUGGAUGUUUUCUUAUAUCA